rnacentral:lncRNA from 1 species
ACUUGCAAGGUAAUAGAUCUGAUCUAUUAUUUAAUACAUACAUUAGAUGUAGCUAGUAUAGAAACAUGUUGAUAUGAUCAACAUGUAGUUCAUACUAUAUUUAUAUAUAUUUUAAUUUUUGAUUUAAUGCUAUGUAAUAAUCAUGUAAUAGGAUCUUAGAUCUAGGGAUUUUCUGAUCUUAGAAAAUAAAUUUUGAUUUAUUUUAGUCUUCCGCUAUAUGAUCCUGAAAAAGUUUCAAGAUCUAACCCUGAAACCCUAGAUCUGGUUCCU